GAUUUUAGGAACUAGAUAGCUUGUGAUGAAAGAAAAGACUCCCAACCCGACAGUGUGAUAUAAUAUCGACUCCUAUAGAUACGUAGAAAUAUAACACCUCAGUUUCAUCAAUCUCACACAAAAUCUUGUUAAAUUAAGUAUCACAAUGAAACCUCAAUUCUCGAUCUUCAAACUUUUUCUCUCCAUCUGUUAAUUAUUCGUAAGCAGCAGCUGCAGAUCAUGAACCGGUCGGACCAAAACGAGAUCUUGUUACGUGUUUUUCUGAACCAAAAAGAGGGGCAUACGUGAACGCACCACCGCCAGUAGGAUACUCCGACGAAGGGUGUCACCACCAUAUCUAAAACUCAGGCUCCCGUGCAUCUAGCUAGUGAGGUGAUAGUUUCCUUAUUGUAGAGCUUGGAGAAAACCGUUUGAACGUGAUUCAAACUUCUCAAAGGAAUAGCUCGACAUUAACAAGAAAAUACACUUCUUUUCGGUUAUAUGUGUGUAAGCCUAAGCCAUAUACACUCCAAAGAAUACACAACGCAUAACUAGCUAGAGAGCGAAAACAAGAGCAAGAGUAACAGAGGGACUACGUAAGGAUGCCUCCAAUGGUCAUUUUUAUACGUCGUGCUUAUGCAUGCGUAUCAAUAAAAUUCAACGACUUCUUAAUGAAUAUCAAGGACUACCUUUCGCGAGAACCACUGUUGCCGGUUAGCAACACCACCAUUCUGGGGUUCAUGGUAUCGUCUCUGCUCAACUUCUUACAGCUCGUUCCUGAUUCACCUUUUCAGACACACCCAAAAAGUGUGUUCUUGGCAUUAGCUAGUCUGGUUAUGUAUGGGGCAUCAUGCGAUGCUGAAGACAAGUAUACAAAUCAUGAUCCUGUAUACGUUAAUAUCGCACGUCAUGGAAAAAUCCUAUUUGGUUCUUUGUUGCUGGCGUCAUUGACGUCUAUUCUUGUACCUAGCUUCAUUCAGCCAGUUGUCUACAUAGCUUACAUCGCGUUCAAUGGCUAUGAGUUAUUUCGUUGGUUGUACAAGAAGAUUAUGGACCAAAUCCGAGAAAUUGACGCGCAUUUACCAUGACCGGCCAUGUGCUAUACAAAGAUUAUGGAUACUUGUAUAUACAUUGUAUAUACAGCUCUUCAAGUAUUUUAUUAUAUGUGUGUUUUGUUUGUUUGAAAAUAAAUGUAAUAUUAUGCUAAUUAUAAUGAAUUCAUCAAAUAUUGAUUCA